GACGAACGCUGGCGGCGUGCCUAAUACAUGCAAGCAGAACGCUGAAGAGAGGAGCUUGCUCUUCUUGGAUGAGUUGCGAACGGGUGAGUAACGCGUAGGUAACCUGCCUUGUAGCGGGGGAUAACUAUUGGAAACGAUAGCUAAUACCGCAUAACAAUGGAUGACACAUGUCAUUUAUUUGAAAGGGGCAAUUGCUCCACUACAAGAUGGACCUGCGUUGUAUUAGCUAGUAGGUGAGGUAAUGGCUCACCUAGGCGACGAUACAUAGCCGACCUGAGAGGGUGAUCGGCCACACUGGUACUGAGACACGGCCCAGACUCCUACGGGAGGCAGCAGUAGGGAAUCUUCGGCAAUGGGGGCAACCCUGACCGAGCAACGCCGCGUGAGUGAAGAAGGUUUUCGGAUCGUAAAGCUCUGUUGUAAGUCAAGAACGGGUGUGAGAGUGGAAAGUUCACACUGUGACGGUAGCUUACCAGAAAGGGACGGCUAACUACGUG
rnacentral:rRNA from 1 species